AUUUCUAUUACGUUUAAUUCGGCGCUUACGUGAGUGUAUUCAAUGCUGCUGUAAUCAGGCAGCCUCGCUGUGUUCUCAUUGUUGCUUCUAUUGUUUCAGCAAAGGAUAACCAGAAGCAGACAUUUAAAACAGCUACUGACAGGAAGUCCCUUCACCAAUAUCAGAGUGGCUGACUAUGGGACAGUGAAGAUUUGGGGGGUCACUGGAUAGCUGCUGUGACUUUAAUAAGUGAGCCCCAGCUUCCUCUGCAAAUUGGGGAUAGUAGCAACUUCAGAAGAAGCCUACUGUGGUGUGUACAUGGUGAUGAACUCCAUAAUCCCACCAUUUUGGCAAGCUGAAGCAGGAAAAUGGCAAGUUUGAGACCAGCCUGGGCUACAUAAUAAGUAAGACUCUACCUCAAACCAAAUAAAACCGCUUAUUUUGAAGACACUCCCAUGGUCUUUUCAAGGUUCAUCAAACAAGCAGCAGGGACAGGAAUCGGUUUCUCAGUCUGGGAGAAUAAUUUCUGAUAGUAAUAUUCCAGCCCAGGUGAACCUUCAACCAGAGGAUUAUCUCUGGGGGGACAAAGGAGGAAAGAGAGGGCAAGGUAAGCGAGACAGCAUGCAGCCUGUGCCUCAGCCACCAGGAGGUGACCUCU
rnacentral:lncRNA from 1 species